rnacentral:rRNA from 1 species
UACGUAGGGUGCAAGCGUUAAUCGGAAUUACUGGGCGUAAAGCGUGCGCAGGCGGUUAUGUAAGACAGAUGUGAAAUGCCCGGGCUUAACCUGGGAAUGGCAUUUGGGACUGCAAGGCUGGAGUGCGGCAGAGGAGACUGGAAUUCCUGGUGUAGCAGUGAAAUGCGUAGAUAUCAGGAGGAAUACCGAUGGCGAAGGCAGGUCUCUGGGCUGACACUGACGCUCAUGCACGAAAGCGUGGGGAGCAAACAGG